ACGGAAUGUGCAAACGUUAUUCGGAAUCACUGGGCUUAAAGAGUCCGUAGGCGGCUUGUUAGGUGAGGUGUGAAAUCCCUCGGCCCAACCGAGGAAUUGCGCUUCAAACCGGCAAGCUUGAGGAGGAUAGAGGUGGGCGGAACUGAUGGUGGAGCGGUGAAAUGCGUUGAUAUCAUCAGGAACACCGGAGGCGAAGGCGGUCCACUGGGUCCUUUCUGACGCUGAGGGACGAAAGCUAGGGGAGCGAACGGGAUUAGAUACCCCGGUAGUCCUAGCCUUAAACGAUGAGCACUAGACCGAAGAAUCUCCACGAUUUUUUGGUCGUAGCGAAAGUGUUAAGUGCUCCGCCUGGGGAGUAUGGUCGCAAGGCUG
rnacentral:rRNA from 1 species